CCCGCCUACAAUUUUGACUCAGACUUACACAUUCACUUUCACCUCUCACCUCGGUCUCAUUUUCUCUCUCGCUCUCACCCCUACCUCUAUCUCUGGAACUCAAUUGCAAUUCAAUUAGGGGUUGAGGUUCAAUUAGAGCUAUAUUAAUUUGACAAGUCGAGGUGGAUCUCGGUUCUUUUAUGGAGGGGCUUCAUUAGCUUGGCAUUUGAAUUUCAAGACUUCGUAUUAGAUAAUAAGGUUCAUGGAAAACAUGGAAAACCGACCAUUCUAGAGAACUGGACUGCGAAAACUCCUAAAACAGUGAGUGAUUGGGAUAAGGAGAGUGAUAGAACACAGUAGCUUGUAAUUUUGUUCUUGUCACUGAAAAUGACAUCACUAACAUGUGCAUACAUACAUCAGCAACCUUGGCAAUAAGAAAGUUGAACUUUUUGAUACCGGAGGUGGUAGUCAACCUGCUGCUGCAGACAAUGUUUAAAUGGCUUCUAGCCAUAGAUGAUGCAUAUCAUGAUAAAGCAGUAGUUUCUAGAUUUAAAGGGUGGGAAGCUAUUGAUCGGGCUAUAGGGCAGCUGACAAGACUUCUUUGGAGGCAUAAAAUAAAGGCCACGUUUAUUGUUAUGGAUCUGAUGUUUGUUUAAGUUGUUGGUGAGUUGGAUGUUUAAGUAGUUGGAUGUUGGAUAUUUUAGUAGUUAGAUGUUGGAUGUUUGGUGUAAAGAUUUUAAAUAUGGUUUAUUCGAAUUGUUUAUUUUGGGAA